AUGACCACGCGCUUCAUGGUGUGUGGUGGAAAGCUUUUGCGGUGUGGGAUGGGCCCGCGGCCUAUCAGCUUGUUGGUGGGGUAAUGGCCUACCAAGGCGACGACGGGUAGCCGGCCUGAGAGGGUGACCGGCCACACUGGGACUGAGAUACGGCCCAGACUCCUACGGGAGGCAGCAGUGGGGAAUAUUGCACAAUGGGCGCAAGCCUGAUGCAGCGACGCCGCGUGAGGGAUGACGGCCUUCGGGUUGUAAACCUCUUUCAAUAGGGACGAAGCGCAAGUGACGGUACCUAUAGAAGAAGGACCGGCCAACUACGUGCCAGCAGCCGCGGUAAUACAUAGGGUCCGAGCGUUGUCCGGAAUUACUGGGCGUAAAG
rnacentral:rRNA from 1 species